rnacentral:rRNA from 1 species
UACGGGAGGCAGCAGUGGGGAAUAUUGCACAAUGGGCGCAAGCCUGAUGCAGCCAUGCCGCGUGUAUGAAGAAGGCCUUCGGGUUGUAAAGUACUUUCAGUCGUGAGGAAGGUGUUAAGGUUAAUAACCUUAGCAAUUGACGUUAGCGACAGAAGAAGCACCGGCUAACUCCGUGCCAGCAGCCGCGGUAAUACGGAGGGUGCGAGCGUUAAUCGGAAUUACUGGGCGUAAAGGGCACGCAGGCGGUUAAUUAAGUUGGAUGUGAAAUCCCCGGGCUUAACCUGGGAAUGGCAUUCAAGACUGGUUAGCUAGAGUCUUGUAGAGGGGGUAGAAUUCCAUGUGUAGCGGUGAAAUGCGUAGAGAUGUGGAGGAAUACCGGUGGCGAAGGCGGCCCCUGGACAAAGACUGACGCUCAUGUGCGAAAAGCGUGGGGAGGCAAAACAGGGAUUUAGAUACC